UACGUAGGGGGCUAGCGUUGUCCGGAAUCAUUGGGCGUAAAGAGCGUGUAGGCGGUCCGGUAAGUCCGCUGUGAAAGUCGGGGGCUCAACCCUCGAAUGCCGGUGGAUACUGUCGGGCUAGAGUGCGGAAGAGGCGAGUGGAAUUCCUGGUGUAGCGGUGAAAUGCGCAGAUAUCAGGAGGAACACCUAUUGCGAAGGCAGCUCGCUGGGACGUAACUGACGCUGAGGAACGAAAGCUAGGGGAGCAAACAGG
rnacentral:rRNA from 1 species